AGAGCUCAAAUUUGAAAUCUGGCGGCAUCCUGUCGUCCGAGUUGUAAUCUAUAGAAGUGUUUUCCGCGCCGGACCAUGUACAAGUCCCUUGGAACAGGGCGUCAUAGAGGGUGAGAAUCCCGUCCUUGACAUGAUCUCCGGUUGCUAUGUGAUACACUUUCAACGAGUCGAGUUGUUUGGGAAUGCAGCUCAAAAAGGGUGGUGAAUUCCAUCUAAAGCUAAAUAUUGGCGAGAGACCGAUAGCGAACAAGUACCGUGAGGGAAAGAUGAAAAGCACUUUGGAAAGAGAGUUAAACAGUACGUGAAAUUGUUGAAAGGGAAACGAUUGAAGUCAGUCAUGCUCUUUGGGUUAAGCCUUUCGGGGUGUAUUCCAUUGAGUGGGGUCAACAUCAGUUUUGACCGCUGGAAAAAGGCACGAGGAAGGUAGCACUCUCGGGUGAACUUAUAGCCUCGCGUCAUAUACAGUGGUUGGGACUGAGGAACGCAGCAUGCCUUAUGGCCGGGAUUCGUCCACGUACAUGCUUAGGAUGUUGACAUAAUGGCUUUAAACGACCCGUCUU
rnacentral:rRNA from 1 species